UACGUAGGGGGCUAGCGUUGUCCGGAUUCACUGGGCGUAAAGCGCACGCAGGCGGCCCAGUAAGUCGGACGUGAAAUCCCACGGCUCAACCGUGGAAUUGCGUUCGAUACUGCUGGGCUAGAGGACGGGAGAGGAAGGUGGAAUUCCCGGUGUAGCGGUGAAAUGCGCAGAUAUCGGGAGGAACACCAGUGGCGAAGGCGGCCUUCUGGCCCGUUCCUGACGCUCAGGUGCGAAAGCCAGGGGAGCAAACAGG
rnacentral:rRNA from 1 species